CAAGAAGCCGAAAGGCUACUUAAAACCAUCGCGAACUUAUCCAAGUUGCUUCGGCGGCGCGGCUCCCCUCACGGGGACCGCAGCCCCCGCCUCUCAGGAGGUAAGGGGCAGCCGCCGGAGGUACGAAACUCUGUAUUAUAGUGGUAUCUCUGAGUAUAAACACAAAUAAGUUA
rnacentral:misc_RNA from 1 species